UACAGAGGUCUCAAGCGUUGUUCGGAUUCAUUGGGCGUAAAGGGUGUGUAGGUGGCGCGCUAAGUCGGGUGUGAAAUCCCAUGGCUCAACCAUGGAAGUGCACUCGAAACUGCAGGGCUAGAGUCCUGGAGAGGAAGGUGGAAUGCUUGGUGUAGAGGUGAAAUUCGUAGAUAUCAAGCGGAACACCGGUGGCGAAGGCGGCCUUCUGGACAGUGACUGACGCUGAGACGCGAAAGCGUGGGGAGCAAACAGG
rnacentral:rRNA from 1 species